rfam:Amphiamblys sp. WSBS2006 Amphi_764, whole genome shotgun sequence.
CCUGAGAUAGCUCAGUUGGUAGAGCGGGGGACUGUAGAUGGAAACAGCUGAUAUCCUCCGGUCGGGAGUUCGAUUCUCUCUCUCAGGA